AAGAAACUAUGGCGACCCAAGGAGAAAACGAAACAACCGACAGAACGCGGCAAAUCUCAGGACACAUAAAUGGACCCACCUUCCCAGAGCACCUCGUCAACCAGUCAAGGGGAUCCAGCAGGAAACAUUACACCACCUAAUGGAGGUGGCUUUUCAGGUGCAAAUUUACUUCUAUUUGAAAGCCUGGAGGAGUUCCUUUUUACAAAUUACGGCUUGUUUAACCAAAAAAUGCCUAAUAUGCAAAAUGCAAAUAAAUGCAAGAUAUCAGCAGAAAAACUAUGAUUCGCACUGUCGCCUUCAAUGAAUUUUUUAAAUUAGCCCCUUCAUGAAUUAAGUUUGCAAACCCAACAGUGGUGAUAGUGGCAUUUUCAAGCGUGAAUGUAUUUUAAUUGUCUGUAUCAAGAAUUCAACAGAUUUUAGGAAUCUGGGUUCUUUUAUAAGAAUAAAGAGAAAAA